GAAUAUUGGACAAUGGGCGAAAGCCUGAUCCAGCCAUGCCGCGUGUGUGAAGAAGGUCUUCGGAUUGUAAAGCACUUUAAGUUGGGAGGAAGGGCAGUAAGCGAAUACCUUGCUGUUUUGACGUUACCGACAGAAUAAGCACCGGCUAACUCUGUGCCAGCCGCCGCGGUAAUACAGAGGGUGCAAGCGUUAAUCGGAAUGACUGGGCGUAAAGCGCGCGUAGGUGGUUCGUUAAGUUGGAUGUGAAAUCCCCGGGCUCAACCUGGGAACUGCUUUCAUAACUGCUGAGCUAGAGUACGGUAGAGGGUAGUGGAAUUUCCUGUGUAGCGGUGAAAUGCGCAGAUAUAGGAAGGAACACCAGUGGCGAAGGCGACUACCUGGACUGAUACUGACACUGAGGCGCGAAGGCGUGGGGAGCAAACAG
rnacentral:rRNA from 1 species